AAGACAUCAUCUCAACCUUUUUGUUGUAAGAACUACAAGAUUAUUUUACUUUAAAUUUUUUUUAUUUAAAUGCUUAUAUUAUAGUAUAGAAUUAUUUAGAAAUAAAAUAAAAUAAAGUAAAAUAAAAGAUUAUAGAAUUAUGAAAUUUGUAAAGAAAAUGAUAGAUGGAAAGUAUAAGGUGGUAUAUUGUUUGAACAUUAAGUAAAUGUUGUGACAAAAGUAUAUAUAUGUGAAAAUGGUGUGAUAAUUGUGAAUUGUGAAAUAAGCACUAAAUUGUUAUGAUGGAGAAAUGAGAAGUGUUUUUCGAAAUAAUUCUAUAAAGUAUUUAAAUGAAUGAGAUUCAGUUCUAAUGCCCAAGUAGAUGGAUUUUAGAACUACCAGGAUAUUAGUGGCAUGCCAUUAAGGAACUUAGCGCGCUCUCUGAUUUUUAGCACGUUAGUGCUCUCUGACUAUUAGCACGUUGGUGCUCUUUGAUAUUUAGCAUGUCAGUGCUCUCUGUAUAGCACUUUAGUGCUCUCUGUUCAUUAGUGCAUAAUAAUGCACCUCUGUAUUUGUUUCAUAUAUCCG
rnacentral:lncRNA from 1 species